UGAGAGCUAGUGUGUCCUUCCCACUGGUAUUUAUUCAAGCAAAGGAAAAAAUGAAGAAGGCGUAUAAUAAACUCCUAAGACUGUUCAAGAAUUACUGGCAUUAUUUCUCUCUACAUCACGUGUGAGCCUGGGUUGCCUGCUAUUCCUGAGGCAGAGGAUCGAGGAUGAAAGUCUGUGUGUCAGAGCCUGUUUUCACAACUGCAUUUGGAGAUCUGUCUUAUUGAUUAGGAAAAAAAGGGGGUGGGAAUAGGAGUGUGAGGUGAGGGGAGGACCGACUGACUACUGGCUUAUUGCAGCUCAAGACAUUUUCUUCCGGAAAGAUGUCAAACAACUGAGACACAGCAACAGAGGAAGUAGAAAGGUGGAAAAAUAAGAAGAGGGACCCUUUGGAAGAAAUGAAGGCAUUCCUUAUGAGAGCCUUGAGGCUUUUUUUUCUUCUAACAUCUGACCCACAAGGGCUAGAGUGACAGCGUCAUGCAAAUGCUGCAGUCCAGCAGGUCUGAGAGAGGGUGGAUGCUAGAGACUGAACGGCUUCCCGAAGAGCACUGUUUUCUAUGCCAGAUCCUGCUCCAGUGGCUAGGACCUUUAUGGCUGCUGUUUCUUUUGCUCUGGGCUCUGAUGGAGGAAAAAAAAAAAAAAAAAAAAAAGCCACAGUGGAUCCUGUCCCUAAAGUAGAAAUUUUCUUUUUCGUUCUGCCAACAAAGCUAAAGAUCGGAGGAGAAUGGAUGCGAAAAUAAUUCGGGAUUGUGGUUGUGCCAUUAAAAGUGUUCGGCUUCAGAACGAAAUUAUUCGGGAAACCCGAGCAUUUCUUCUUAGUGUAUUGACAGUAUUUGAAAGUUAUGUGUGCUUUGAGUAAUCUGGCUCAAGUGACAACAACCUUUGCAUGUCAAUGUUUUCUACAGUUUAUGGAGCGAAAGCUAGUUUUGCCACCGGAAAGGAAGAAGCUUUUGCUAGCAGCCUGUAGAAGGAUUAAAUGUUGAACGUGGGGAAGAGGCAAAAAGUGAAUACACGCCCAAAGGUUAUCCUUGCAUCGUGAAUGGGUUUAAAGUACUCUCUGACCCAGGGCCCACCUGAACAGUAGGACUAAAAGUAUAGUGGGGAAAUAUUUAAAUUAGAAACCCCUUAAUGAGCAUUUAAUCCUUCUUUCAGGCAUUAAGGGAAAUAGAAUAAAAUUGUUACUGUACAGAUCUGCUGGAAGCAGAUUUUAACCCAUUUUUAGACGCUUCCCUCUGAUGUAUUAUGAUAUAGCUACUUAUGAGACAAGACAGUGAAGGUUUCUUUCCUGUGUUCUUUGUUUUUUCCUUUCAAAAGUUAAGGACUAUAAGAAAACUCUGUUCAGUCAGCUGAUACGUUGUUUGAAUGUAUGUAUGCGUCUUGCCUGCAUUUUUGAUCUUUUCUGCCCCCUACUUGAAACUGUGGUUUGUUUAUUUGGGGGGAAGGAGGGUUGUUGAUUUGAAGGGGACAUUGUUUUUUGGGUUGGUUUUUGUUUUGUUUUGUUUUGUUUUUUGACAAUAGCAGUGAAAGUUUUAAUGACAGUGAUUAUGACUACUAAGCAAUUCAGUUUAUUGGAAGACGAAUUCUACUGGAUCAUAUCGGACUUUUCCUAGUCCCUGAGACCCUAACUUGUGAGGUUUUUUAGCAACAAUCACAAGUCAGGCUCUUGGGACCUAGGCGGAGGGGAACCAGCAGCUUUGGACUGUGAUUGUGUCUCUUCAGAAUUUAGAGAACCAAAGGAGCUUUCCUUGUCUGGAAGGGAAAAAAGGAAAAUAUACCUCUUUCAAAUGUUUAGCAGCAGAACUGUUCCUACAAAAAAACCCACUUGUUAUCCAUUGUGUAACAUUAGGCUGUUACAUAUUUGUGUGUUUAGAAAACUGGACUAGAUGCCAUGUAACAUUUAGAAGUAAAAAUUUACCUGAAUGCCAGUUUGAACCUACAAAAAAAAAAAAAAAAUCCAACUCAAAACAGA